AUUGAACGCUGGCGGCAGGCCUAACACAUGCAAGUCGAGCGGAUGAAGGGAGCUUGCUCCUGGAUUCAGCGGCGGACGGGUGAGUAAUGCCUAGGAAUCUGCCUGGUAGUGGGGGAUAACGUCCGGAAACGGGCGCUAAUACCGCAUACGUCCUGAGGGAGAAAGUGGGGGAUCUUCGGACCUCACGCUAUCAGAUGAGCCUAGGUCGGAUUAGCUAGUUGGUGGGGUAAAGGCCUACCAAGGCGACGAUCCGUAACUGGCCUGAGAGGAUGAUCAGUCACACUGGAACUGAGACACGGUCCAGACUCCUACGGGAGGCAGCAGGAGGGAAUAUUGCGCAAUGGGCGAAAGCCUGAUCGAGCAACGCCGCGUGAGUGAAGAAGGUCUUCGGAUUGUAAAGCUCUGUGAGUUGGGAAGAAGAAAAGUAAAAGUAAAUAUGCACGUCUUGACGUUACCAAAUGAGUAAGCCACGGCUAACUUCGUG
rnacentral:rRNA from 1 species